rnacentral:rRNA from 1 species
AUUGAACGCUGGCGGCAUGCCUUACACAUGCAAGUCGAACGGCAGCACGGGGCAACCUGGUGGCGAGUGGCGAACGGGUGAGUAAUGCAUCGGAACGUACCUUUCAGUGGGGGAUAACGUAGCGAAAGUUACGCUAAUACCGCAUAUUCUGUGAGCAGUAAAGCAGGGGAUCGCAAGACCUUGCGCCGAUUGAGCGGCCGAUGUCAGAUUAGCUAGUUGGUGAGGUAAAGGCUCACCAAGGCGACGAUCUGUAGCGGGUCUGAGAGGAUGAUCCGCCACACUGGAACUGAGACACAGUCCAGACUCCUACGGGAGGCAGCAGUGGGGAAUUUUGGACAAUGGGGGCAACCCUGAUCCAGCCAUGCCGCGUGAGUGAAGAAGGCCUUCGGGUUGUAAAGCUCUUUCGGCCGGGAAGAAAUCGCACGGGCUAAUACCCUGUGUGGAUGACGGUACCGGAAUAAGAAGCACCGGCUAACUACGUGCCAGCCGCCGCAGUAACAC